UACGUAGGGCGCAAGCGUUGUCCGGAAUUAUUGGGCGUAAAGAGCUCGUAGGCGGCCUGUUGCGUCUGCUGUGAAAUCCCGGGGCUCAACCCCGGGCCUGCAGUGGAUACGGGCUGGCUAGAGGCAGGCAGGGGAGAACGGAAUUCCUGGUGUAGCGGUGAAAUGCGCAGAUAUCAGGAGGAACACCGGUGGCGAAGGCGGUUCUCUGGGCCUGUACUGACGCUGAGGAGCGAAAGCGUGGGGAGCAAACAGG
rnacentral:rRNA from 1 species